CUGGAUCUUGGGCAGCACUGGUCGGUCGACGACCACCCUGUGCUCGUCGACCUAGAUCUUGGGCAACACCCAGUCCACCAGCGCCAAGUCCUGCCGCUCCUUGCCAACGCCCACGAGCCUCAUCCUGGCGCGGUGCAGCACACGAGGUCACGAGUGCCCCCCGUGGCGCACGCGUCCGGUGGUGCGAGGAGGAGGGAGAGGCCAAAGUCGCCGAGGCACGCCCGCAUGUCGUCCUCCACAAAGAUGAUGGACGAGGUGACGUCGCUGUGCACCGCGGUAGGCUUCAUGCCAAAGAGGAGGUUCUCGAGCGCCGCCAUGAUCUGGGCGACCAUCACGAGGCGGGUCUGCCUAGGGAGCGGCGGCACAGCGGCGCUGAGCAUGCUGUUGGGGACGAAGUCGUAG
rnacentral:misc_RNA from 1 species